CGAACGGUGGGAUCACUCGGCUUCGCGGAU
rnacentral:rRNA from 1 species